rnacentral:rRNA from 1 species
GACGAACGCUGGCGGCGUGCCUAAAACAUGCAAGUCGAACGAGGGUAGUAAUACCUUAGUGGCGAACGGCGGAGUAAUACAUAAGCAACGUGCCCCGAAGACUGGGAUAUACAGCCGAAAGGCUGGGCAAUACCGGAUGUGACGGAAGGAUGGCAUCAUCUUUUCCAUUAAAACAGUUUUUUUGCUUCGGGAGCGGCUUAUGGCCUAUCAGGUAGUUGGUGAGGUAAUGGCUCACCAAGCCGACGACGGGUAGCGGGUCUGAGAGGAUGGUCCGCUCGAGUGGGACUGAGACACGGCCCACACACCUACGGGUGGCAGCAGUUGGGAAUCUUGCACAAUGGGGGAAACCCUGAUGCAGCGACGCCGCGUGGAGGAU